rnacentral:pre_miRNA from 1 species
AAAAUACUCCCUCCGUUUGGAAUUACUUGUCGUAGAAAUAGAUGUAUCUAGAUGUAUUUUAGUUCUAGAUACAUCCAUUUUCGAGACAAGUAAUUCCGGACGGAGGGAGUACUUG